rnacentral:rRNA from 1 species
AACGAACGUUAGCGGCGCGCUUAACACAUGCAAGUCGUGCGAGAAAGGGCUUCGGCCCCGGUACAGCGGCGCACGGGUGAGUAACACGUAGGUAAUCUACCCCGAGGGGGUGGCUAACCUUCCGAAAGGAGGGCUAAUACAGCAUAAGACCACGAGCUCGUAACCGGGCUUGAGGUCAAAGCCGGCCUCUUCACGAAAGCUGGCCCCGCGGGAAGAGCCGGCGGCCCAUCAGGUAUGUGGUAGGGUAAUGGCCUACCAAGCCAAAGACGGGUAGCUGGUCUGAGAGGAUGAUCAGCCACACUGGAACUGAGGCACGGUCCAGACUCCUACGGGAGGCAGCAGUGGGGAAUCUUGCGCAAUGGGCGAAAGCCUGACGCAGCGACGCCGCGUGAGUGAUGAAGGCCCUCGGGUUGUAAAGCUCUGUGGAGGGGGACGAAUAAGUGUUGGCUAAUAUCCAGCAUGAUGACGGUACCCCUUUAGCAAGCACCGGCUAACUCUGUGCCAGCAGCCGCGGUAACAC